rfam:Medicago truncatula strain A17 chromosome 7, whole genome shotgun sequence.
AUAUAAGCAAAAUUGACUUUUUAGGUUCAUUCAAUGAAUGAUGUAUUUGGUCUAUAAUAUGAACCACAUACAUCAUUAAUUGAAUGAACCUAAAAAGUCAAUUUUGCUUAUAU